rnacentral:rRNA from 1 species
AGUGAACGCUGGCGGUAGGCCUAACACAUGCAAGUCGAACGGUAGCACAGUAAGAGCUUGCUCUUACGGGUGGCGAGUGGCGGACGGGUGAGGAAUACAUCGGAAUCUACUUUUUCGUGGGGGAUAACGUAGGGAAACUUACGCUAAUACCGCAUACGACCUACGGGUGAAAGCAGGGGAUCUUCGGACCUUGCGCGAUUGAAUGAGCCGAUGUCGGAUUAGCUAGUUGGCGGGGUAAAGGCCCACCAAGGCGACGAUCCGUAGCUGGUCUGAGAGGAUGAUCAGCCACACUGGAACUGAGACACGGUCUAGACUCCUACGGGAGGCAGCAGUGGGGAAUAUUGGACAAUGGGCGCAAGCCUGAUCCAGCCAUACCGCGUGGGUGAAGAAGGCCUUCGGGUUGUAAAGCCCUUUUGUUGGGAAAGAAAAGCAGCAGGUUAAUACCCCGCUGUUCUGACGGUACCCAAAGAAUAAGCACCGGCUAACUUCGUG